AGGCUGAUGCAAGAGCGUCGCGAAGAGCAGUAUAAAUGAGCAGCUCGCAGCCACCGAGAGCAUCAUUCCAACGACAACUUCACAACGAAACUAAAACAUGGCUUCUUUUUUGAAACUGAGCGUGCUUGCCCUGGUGGUGAUGAUGCUGGUGACCGGCACCAUCGCUGAACCCGAACCCGAGCCUUUCCCUGUGCCGGGUGGACACAAGCACUGGAAGAAGGGACACAAGAAGGGGCACAAGAAGGGACAUAAGAAGGGACACAAGAAGGGACACAAGAAGGGCCACAAGAAGUGGUAGAACUGUCAUGAACGCCGUUUUACUUCUUCCGUACAAAAUAAACUCGAACGAACA
rnacentral:lncRNA from 1 species